UACGAAGGCCCCUAGCGUUAUCCGGAUUUACUGGGCGUAAAGAGCGCGUAGGAGGCUUGGUGUGUCUUAGGUAAAAGGCUAGAGCUUAACUCUAGUUUCGCCUAAGAAACUAUCAGGCUAGAGGGUGUUAGAGGUGAAUGGAACGCACGGUGUAGGGGUGAAAUCCGUUGAUAUCGUGCGGAACACCAAAGGCGAAGGCAAUUCACUGGGACAUCCCUGACUCUGAGGCGCGAAAGCGUGGGGAGCAAAAAGG
rnacentral:rRNA from 1 species